rnacentral:sRNA from 1 species
UUAUGUGGACCUCUGUUGUGAUGCUUCUGUGUCAUGACAGAACCGCAUAAGCAGGUGAAACUUCUUAGAGGGACUGGCGCUCAAAAAGGCGCACGAGAAAGAGCAAUAACAGGUCUGUGAUGCCCUAAGAUGUCCGGGGCCGCACGCGUGCUACAAUGACGAUGCUAGUGAGCAUGAUUAACUUGCCCGAAAGGGUAGGUAAAACUGUUCAAUCAUCGUCGUGACUGGGAUUGGGGUUUGCAAUUAUCCCCCAUGAACCAGGAAUUCCUAGUAAGCACAAGUCAUAAGCUUGUGCUGAUUACGUCCCUGCCCUUUGUACACACCGCCCGUCGCUACUACCGAUUGAAUGGCUUAGCAAGGUCAUUGGAUUGAGUUCUUGCAGUUCACCCUGCUUGGAUUCGAGAAGAUGCCCGAACUUGGUCAUUUAGAGGAAGUAAAAGUCGUAACAAGGUUUCCGUAGGUGAACCUGCGGAAGGAUCAUUAUCAAAUUCCAAAACCAAAUCCACUAUGUCUAGCUCUGGUGGUAGCGCUUUCUGCGGUUUAUUCUGCUCGGCGCAUUGUGAUACAGAAGUGGUUGGAGCGGUCUAGGCGGUAACCAUGUAUCGCUUAGUGCUGGCUCCUUCUCACCCGUCACCUCCCCAGUCCGGUGGCUUGUUGACAUGUACAGUCGUGGUAGCGUUGUGCAUGUUGGCUCGUCGCUUCACUCAUUUUUUGGGCUGGGCCUGGUCACCGUUGCCACACCCCUCUCCCUCGUGGAGUUCCUGUCUCAUUACUCAUUAUACAUAAUGUGUGCUCGUCUUGCUGCUAUGCUGCGCGUUGGUCAUCAUGUGUGUUUCCUGACGGCUUGACAGUCUGCCCAGGCGGAUAGUCGCUGAUGGUUGAGACCUGUGAUGUGUUGAUGCGUGGUGUGGUGGACUGCGGUGUCCAUACAUAGGCAUUGGUCCUACGUGGCCUCUGCUGAACAUAC